AUUGAACGCUGGCGGCAUGCUUUACACAUGCAAGUCGAACGGCAGCACAGCAGAGGUAACUCUGUGGGUGGCGAGUGGCGAACGGGUGAGUAAUACAUCGGAACGUACCCUGUUGUGGGGGAUAACUACGCGAAAGCGUAGCUAAUACCGCAUACGCCCUGAGGGGGAAAGCGGGGGACCCUAAAUAGAGCGCACUGGGGAGUGCGUUGUAUUUAGGGCCUCGCGCAAUAGGAGCGGCCGAUGUCGGAUUAGCUAGUUGGUGAGGUAAAGGCUUACCAAGGCGACGAUCCGUAGCUGGUCUGAGAGGAUGAUCAGCCACACUGGGACUGAGACACGGCCCAGACUCCUACGGGAGGCAGCAGUGGGGGAAUUUUGGACAAUGGGGGCAACCCUGAUCCAGCCAUGCCGCGUGAGUGAAGAAGGC
rnacentral:rRNA from 1 species